GGUUAAGCGACUAAGCGUACACGGUGGAUGCCCUGGCAGUCAGAGGCGAUGAAGGACGUGCUAAUCUGCGAAAAGCGCCGGCGAGGUGAUAUGAACCUUUGACCCGGCGAUGUCCGAAUGGGGAAACCCAGUGUGAUUCGUCACACUAUCGUUAACUGAAUACAUAGGUUAACGAGGCGAACCGGGGGAACUGAAACAUCUAAGUACCCCGAGGAAAAGAAAUCAACCGAGAUUCCCCCAGUAGCGGCGAGCGAACGGGGAACAGCCCAGAGUCUGAAUCAGCUUGUGUGUUAGUGGAACGGUCUGGAAAGUCCGGCGAUACAGGGUGACAGCCCCGUACACGAAAGCACACAGGCUGUGAACUCGAAGAGUAGGGCGGGACACGUGGUAUCCUGUCUGAAUAUGGGGGGACCAUCCUCCAAGGCUAAAUACUCCUGACUGACCGAUAGUGAACCAGUACCGUGAGGGAAAGGCGAAAAGAACCCCGGCGAGGGGAGUGAAAAAGAACCUGAAACCGUGUACGUACAAGCAGUGGGAGCACCUUCGUGGUGUGACUGCGUACCUUUUGUAUAAUGGGUCAGCGACUUAUAUUCUGUAGCAAGGUUAACCGUAUAGGGGAGCCGAAGGGAAACCGAGUCUUAACUGGGCGUUAAGUUGCAGGGUAUAGACCCGAAACCCGGUGAUCUAGCCAUGGGCAGGUUGAAGGUUGGGUAACACUAACUGGAGGACCGAACCGACUAAUGUUGAAAAAUUAGCGGAUGACUUGUGGCUGGGGGUGAAAGGCCAAUCAAACCGGGAGAUAGCUGGUUCUCCCCGAAAGCUAUUUAGGUAGCGCCUCGUGAACUCAUCUUCGGGGGUAGAGCACUGUUUCGGCUAGGGGGCCAUCCCGGCUUACCAACCCGAUGCAAACUACGAAUACCGAAGAAUGUUAUCACGGGAGACACACGGCGGGUGCUAACGUCCGUCGUGAAGAGGGAAACAACCCAGACCGCCAGCUAAGGUCCCAAAGUCAUGGUUAAGUGGGAAACGAUGUGGGAAGGCACAGACAGCCAGGAUGUUGGCUUAGAAGCAGCCAUCAUUUAAAGAAAGCGUAAUAGCUCACUGGUCGAGUCGGCCUGCGCGGAAGAUGUAACGGGGCUAAACCAUGCACCGAAGCUGCGGCAGCGACGCUUAUGCGUUGUUGGGUAGGGGAGCGUUCUGUAAGCCGUUGAAGGUGUGCUGUGAGGCAUGCUGGAGGUAUCAGAAGUGCGAAUGCUGACAUAAGUAACGAUAAAGCGGGUGAAAAGCCCGCUCGCCGGAAGACCAAGGGUUCCUGUCCAACGUUAAUCGGGGCAGGGUGAGUCGACCCCUAAGGCGAGGCCGAAAGGCGUAGUCGAUGGGAAACAGGUUAAUAUUCCUGUACUUGGUGUUACUGCGAAGGGGGGACGGAGAAGGCUAUGUUAGCCGGGCGACGGUUGUCCCGGUUUAAGCAUGUAGGCGGAACGAUUAGGUAAAUCCGGUCGUUUAUUAACGCUGAGGUGUGAUGACGAGGCACUACGGUGCUGAAGUAACAAAUGCCCUGCUUCCAGGAAAAGCCUCUAAGCAUCAGGUAACACGAAAUCGUACCCCAAACCGACACAGGUGGUCAGGUAGAGAAUACCAAGGCGCUUGAGAGAACUCGGGUGAAGGAACUAGGCAAAAUGGUGCCGUAACUUCGGGAGAAGGCACGCUGAUAUGUAGGUGAAGCCCCUGCGGGUGGAGCUGAAAUCAGUCGAAGAUACCAGCUGGCUGCAACUGUUUAUUAAAAACACAGCACUGUGCAAACACGAAAGUGGACGUAUACGGUGUGACGCCUGCCCGGUGCCGGAAGGUUAAUUGAUGGGGUUAGCGGCAACGCGAAGCUCUUGAUCGAAGCCCCGGUAAACGGCGGCCGUAACUAUAACGGUCCUAAGGUAGCGAAAUUCCUUGUCGGGUAAGUUCCGACCUGCACGAAUGGCGUAAUGAUGGCCAGGCUGUCUCCACCCGAGACUCAGUGAAAUUGAACUCGCUGUGAAGAUGCAGUGUACCCGCGGCAAGACGGAAAGACCCCGUGAACCUUUACUAUAGCUUGACACUGAACACUGGUCCUUGAUGUGUAGGAUAGGUGGGAGGCUUUGAAGCGUGGACGCCAGUCUGCGUGGAGCCAACCUUGAAAUACCACCCUUUAAUGGCUGGUGUUCUAACGUAGACCCGUGAUCCGGGUUGCGGACAGUGUCUGGUGGGUAGUUUGACUGGGGCGGUCUCCUCCCAAAGAGUAACGGAGGAGCACGAAGGUUAGCUAAUCCUGGUCGGACAUCAGGAGGUUAGUGCAAUGGCAUAAGCUAGCUUGACUGCGAGAGUGACGGCUCGAGCAGGUGCGAAAGCAGGUCAUAGUGAUCCGGUGGUUCUGAAUGGAAGGGCCAUCGCUCAACGGAUAAAAGGUACUCCGGGGAUAACAGGCUGAUACCGCCCAAGAGUUCAUAUCGACGGCGGUGUUUGGCACCUCGAUGUCGGCUCAUCACAUCCUGGGGCUGAAGUAGGUCCCAAGGGUAUGGCUGUUCGCCAUUUAAAGUGGUACGCGAGCUGGGUUUAGAACGUCGUGAGACAGUUCGGUCCCUAUCUGCCGUGGGCGCUGGAGAAUUGAGGGGGGCUGCUCCUAGUACGAGAGGACCGGAGUGGACGCAUCACUGGUGUUCGGGUUGUCAUGCCAAUGGCACUGCCCGGUAGCUAAAUGCGGAAAAGAUAAGUGCUGAAAGCAUCUAAGCACGAAACUUGCCCCGAGAUGAGUUCUCCCUGACCCUUUAAGGGUCCUGAAGGAACGUUGAAGACUACGACGUUGAUAGGUCGGGUGUGUAAGCGCAGCGAUGCGUUGAGCUAACCGAUACUAAUGAACCGUGAGGCUUAACCUU
rnacentral:rRNA from 1 species